UGGGGAAUAUUGCACAAUGGGGGAAACCCUGAUGCAGCGACGCCGCGUGAGCGAAGAAGGUUUUCGAAUCGUAAAGCUCUGUCCUAUGAGAAGAUAAUGACGGUAUCAUAGGAGGAAGCCCCGGCUAAAUACGUGCCAGCAGCCGCGGUAAUACGUAUGGGGCGAGCGUUGUCCGGAAUUAUUGGGCGUAAAGGGUACGUAGGCGGUCUAUUAAGUCAGGUGUGAAAGCGUGAGGCUUAACCUCAUUAAGCACUUGAAACUGAUAGACUUGAGUGAAGGAGAGGAAAGUGGAAUUCCUAGUGUAGCGGUGAAAUGCGUAGAUAUUAGGAGGAAUACCGGUGGCGAAGGCGACUUUCUGGACUUUUACUGGCGCUCAGGUACGAAAGCGUGGGGAGCAAACAGG
rnacentral:rRNA from 1 species